CCUACGGGAGGCAGCAGUGGGGAAUAUUGGACAAUGGGCGCAAGCCUGAUCCAGCCAUGCCGCGUGAGUGAUGAAGGCCUUAGGGUUGUAAGGCUCUUUCACCGGAGAAGAUAAUGACGGUAUCCGGAGAAGAAGCCCCGGCUAACUUCGUGCCAGCAGCCGCGGUAAU
rnacentral:rRNA from 1 species